UGCGCUGCUGAGGAGGGGGCGGAGUCAAUGGGCAGAGUCAGGUGGAACCCGGAACUAGUUGACGGCUCGUUUCCCUGUUUACAUGUCCACCUGUGGGCUGUUACAUAGGCGCGGCCACUAGGAGGAGGUCACUCAGCCCGUCGCCGUCCACAUCCAUCGACAACAACACGCUGCCAAACGCCUGCAGGACCUCGACGUUUCCACGGCGAUCCAAGGUGAAGCUGACGACCUUGCCGCUAUGGUUGAAGCGGGGCGCUCCCGCCAGCACCACCUCCGACCCGCCCGAGCCCAGCAGCGACCCCAGAUGUGAGUGCUCUGCGAUUGGCUGGCAACCGAUUCAGGGUGUCCGAAGACAGCCGGGAUAGGCUCCAGCACCCCCCCCCCCCCCCCGCGACCGGAAAACUGAUGGACGGAUGGAUGUGAGUAUGUGCUAGCACGUAUUAGCACGCGACCAACCACAAAGCUUCCGUCCUUGCGAUCCGUGGUGAGCGUCAUUCCCAGUCUCAUCCCGUCUUUGCGCUGCGCCAUCACGUUGUCCACCGACACGUUUCCUGGUCACGUGACAUCAUCACGUCAAGGUAUCAUGCGAUGCACCCGGAAACCCCCCCCCCCCCCCCCGAGCCGCGUUACUCACCCAGGUGCAGGCGGCUGCAGGCGCCGCCGGAAUUCAAAACGGCGUCCACGGGACACCUGAACACGUCGCCCGUCUGCUGGUCGUCCGUCCAGGCCUGGGGGGCACCCACCAGGAGCCUGCACGCAUAACAGCUGCCCUGGAAGGAAUUUUCCUUGGCGGCGCAACAACAUUCCCGGGAUGACAGCAGAAGGAAGAACGCAUUGGAAAGGAAACGAAAAGAAAAAGAGAGGAAGGAGGACGAGAGGGACGCCGCUGCUCCUCACCAUCGUCGUCCUUGCGCCUUGUGUUGUCGUAACGUGUAGCCGAAGUGGCUCUCCUCCCAGCCUCGGAAGAUCUGCGCCCGCUUGGCGUCCAGAAGGCCGCAGAUCAUCGAGCCGAUGAAGAAGCGGCGCCAAGAAUCCAUCACGCCCACCCGAGAGAUUCGAGAGCCCACGUCCAAAUCCAAAGACCGUGAGGGGAAGAUGUUACCCUCCACUCUCGUCCGACAGCCCUUUUAUCCGCA